rnacentral:rRNA from 1 species
UGGGGAAUAUUGCACAAUGGGCGCAAGCCUGAUGCAGCGACGCCGCGUGGGGGAUGACGGCCUUCGGGUUGUAAACUCCNUUCGCCAGGGACGAAGCGUUUUGUGACGGUACCUGGAGAAGAAGCACCGGCUAACUACGUGCCAGCAGCCGCGGUAAUACGUAGGGUGCAAGCGUUGUCCGGAAUUACUGGGCGUAAAGAGCUCGUAGGUGGUUUGUCGCGUCGUCUGUGAAAUUCCACAGCUUAGCUGUGGGCGUGCAGGCGAUACGGGCAUAACUUGAGUACUGUAGGGGUAACUGGAAUUCCUGGUGUAGCGGUGAAAUGCGCAGAUAUCAGGAGGAACACCGAUGGCGAAGGCAGGUUACUGGGCAGUUACUGACGCUGAGGAGCGAAAGCAUGGGUAGCAAACAGGAUUAGAUACCCUGGUAGUCCAUGCCGUAAACGGUGGGCGCUAGGUGUAGGGGCCUUUUGGGGUUUCUGUGCCGUAGCUAACGCAUUAAGCGCCCCGCCUGGGGAGUACGGCCGCAAGGCUA